rnacentral:rRNA from 1 species
UACAGAGACUGCAAGCGUUAUUCGGAUUCACUGGGCGUAAAGGGUGCGCAGGCGGCCAAGUGUGUGAGGCGUGAAAGCCCGGGGCUUAACCCCGGAAUUGCACCUCAAACUACAUGGCUAGAGCAUUGGAGAGGGUAGCAGAAUUCAUGGUGUAGCAGUGAAAUGCGUAGAUAUCAUGAGGAAUACCAGAGGCGAAGGCGGCUACCUGGACAAUUGCUGACGCUCAGGCACGAAAGCGUGGGGAGCAAAAAGGG